CCAGUUAUCUUUGUCUAAUUGGAGGACGUUAUGCAAUAUUUAGAGCUCUAACCCACUCAAUCUAAUUUUCAGUCACGCGAUAAAGUCCUGACCAUACUGACCGGACUGUUCCAUAAGAACAUAAGAAAUUCAGCAUUUCCAUAAAAGUUUUCAUAAUGGGAAACAAUUGCUAUGAUGACAUAAUUGCUGUCAAAUGUGGGCGGUUUAAAACGAUUGUAAGGCAAGUCAGCAGUAGUACAAUUUAUUUAAUAACACGAUGAAAAAGUGGUACAUUGAUUAAUCGACAGGAUUUCCAUUAAUUGCAGCUGUGCGAAUCUAACACAGCGUCAUUCAUUGUCCCCAUGUGAUCUGGUAAAAUGUUCAAACUAUGAUUUAGCAAUGGGUAGAUUUUGUUGACCUAUUACAUUCGUUUUUAUUAACCCUUCGUAACAAGACCCAAAUAAAUGGGCAUGUCGAACGGAUUGUUGUGCAUCGCUUUCCUUUGUAACAUUUGCGUAAAUUUUGGGCAUCCCCCCAGAGUGGCAGAGAAAGGGAGAGAGAGGAAUACUCCAUCUAUGUCCCGAUCCAUUUGCUGUUUUUACUGCAAACAGCAUUAUAUCAACGGAAUAUGGAUCCCUGUCAAACGAAUCGGAUUGUAUCCAAAGUUGGGUUUGGAUUUUGAUGUUAUUGAGGUUAGUGAGGCGGAUCUGCCCCACUUUUGCACAUUCUACUAUCCGAAUAUCAAACUUCAGUCUGACAAAGUUUAGUGAUUUUAGGAGAAAUUGAUCCAAAGUUGAGGCGAAAGCAACCAACAUUCAGGAACAAAUGUUGCAUUUACUGGCAAUCAUAUAUCAUCUGAAAAAAUCACAUUUUUGAUCUUUCUGACAUCUUUUUUCCUGUGUUGGAUGGAGCAGAGCAGAUCCUUUGCUGAGUUCUUCCCAGCAGCCUCUACAUAGAAUACAUAGAAUAUUGUGGUAUAGAUAAAUGGAUUUACCAAUACCAGAGAACAAGUCGGGUAUAUAGGUAUGCAGCAGAAAAUGCCUUUGUGAUUCCAUCCCACAACAAUAAAACCAAAUGAAAUAGAUACAGAAGUCGAGUCAAGAAGACGAGCAGUAAGUCGAAGCAGUGAACUAAUCCAUAGCGGAUGCUCGUUAGUUGAACUAUUGGGAAGACGAUCCUAGGUAUGUACACAUACACAUACAUAUCUGGACAGCAUUAUUCGACUCCCUAUCUCGCUCUCCACAUAAAUGCACUUUCGCGACUCGUUCUUCUCCAAGUUAGGAAAAAGGAGUUUUAGAAAUCCUCUGCUGCCAGACUACUUACUGCACAUAUCUACUAACCCACCUCUCAAUGGGUUCCUUCGGUCCAGUGAAAUCAAAAAGAGAAAGCAUUAUUUUUGGUCGCUUCCAAUGCAAUAAAGUGCCAUUGGCCUGCUUGCCUGUGUAUGGUUGAGAUUAUACUUUCUGCCCUCCGAUGCUCCGAUGUAGCGAACGGAGAUAACUCAAAAUGUCCUAUUCAAUGAAGGAGCAAGCUUCCAGUUUCUCUUUUCGGCUGUCAACAUGUGCGCCUUAUUUUUAUUGCGAAAAGGGAAACAAAAAAACUGUCGUUUUCGGAAGUUGGAUGUGAAUUUGGAUUUAUUUGUUUGAUACACCAAACCACCAUUUCAUACUUGAGAUGGUAAUACAUUCCACAAUCUGUUGGUUACUUGGAAAGUAAUGAAAGCAAUAAUCAAUAUUAAUCUUUGUAUUAAGGUUACUAUGUGCUCACAGCCAAAAAGCAUAUAGCAAUGUAUUUAGUUGUACUGGAAUUGUGUGGAAAGGCAGCAGCAGCAGUGGUGCAUAAUGGCUGUGGAAGACCAGCCAGCCAGCAGAUCCAAAGAUGAAAAUACAUCUAAUUCCCUGCUCAAUAUCCAGUAAAAGACGUUGUGGAGGUUUUGAAAGAAAGCCCGAGGAAAAGGACAAACAGCUCGAGCUACUUACGCGAUUCUGGACUUUUUCUCUCCCUAAUAUCUCCUUUUUCCGUAUGAUUGGAAAGAGGGAUCGUUAAUAGGACUAAACUCUACUCUUGAGGGGCAUAGCUACAUAACUAAAUUUAUAAUAGAAAGGGUAUAAGUGGUGGCCGUGGUGGUGGUGGAUCCAGUGAAAAUGGAUUUCCACCCCACACAUAAAGCGGUAUAUGUAAGAAGAAGUAUGUAUAAGAAGAAGAAGAAGCAAGCAACUCAGAGAACGAACUUUGCCUGCAAGAAAAAAGUGGCCAAGUUGGAGCAAGUCUUUCAAUUAAUGAAACGGAUUGAUUGAGAACCCAGAUAUUGGAGAGUGCGGAGCCAAGGCCCAAAUCGGAGUCGACGAAAGCUGGCUCAUUUGGCGUAGAAACAUAUAAUGAAAGAAAUGGUUCAAGUUUAUUUCUUGUUUCGUUCCCAAAGUUCUCAACUUUUAACAAACUAUCAAACUGCUACUUACAACAGAGUCUGAUUUAAUAUAGCUAAUGUUGUUUAUUGUUCA